rnacentral:rRNA from 1 species
UACAGAGGUCCCAAGCGUUGUUCGGAUUCACUGGGCGUAAAGCGUGCGCAGGCGGUUUCUUAAGUCAGAUGUGAAAGCCCCGGGCUUAACCUGGGAACUGCGUUUGAAACUGGGAGACUUGAGUGUGGCAGAGGGGGGUGGAAUUCCACGUGUAGCAGUGAAAUGCGUAGAUAUGUGGAGGAACACCGAUGGCGAAGGCAGCCCCCUGGGUUAACACUGACGCUCAUGCACGAAAGCGUGGGGAGCAAACAGG